UAGAGUUUGAUCCUGGCUCAGAUUGAACGCUGGCGGCAGGCCUAACACAUGCAAGUCGAGCGGAAACGACAACAUUGAUUCUUCGGAUGAUUUAUUGGGCGUCGAGCGGCGGACGGGUGAGUAAUGCCUGGGAAAUUGCCCUGAUGUGGGGGAUAACCAUUGGAAACGAUGGCUAAUACCGCAUAAUGCCUUCGGGCCAAAGAGGGGGACCUUUGGGCCUCUCGCGUCAGGAUAUGCCCAGGUGGGAUUAGCUAGUUGGUGAGGUAAUGGCUCACCAAGGCGACGAUCCCUAGCUGGUCUGAGAGGAUGAUCAGCCACACUGGAACUGAGACACGGUCCAGACUCCUACGGGAGGCAGCAGUGGGGAAUAUUGCACAAUGGGCGCAAGCCUGAUGCAGCCAUGCCGCGUGUAUGAAGAAGGCCUUCGGGUUGUAAAGUACUUUCAGUCGUGAGGAAGGUUCAUGCGUUAAUAGCGUAUGGAUUUGACGUUAGCGACAGAAGAAGCACCGGCUAACUCCGUGCCAGCAGCCGCGGUAAUACGGAGGGUGCGAGCGUUAAUCGGAAUUACUGGGCGUAAAGCGCAUGCAGGUGGUUCGUUAAGUCAGAUGUGAAAGCCCGAGGCUCAACCUCGGAACUGCAUUUGAAACUGGCGGACUAGUGUACUGUAGAGGGGGGUAGAAUUUCA
rnacentral:rRNA from 1 species